rfam:Mortierella elongata AG-77 unplaced genomic scaffold K457scaffold_19, whole genome shotgun sequence.
GGCCGGAUGGUUUAGUGGUAUAAUUCUCGCUUAGGGUGCGAGAGGUCCCGGGUUCAAUUCCCGGUUCGGCCC